UACGGAGGAUGCGAGCGUUAUCCGGAUUUAUUGGGUUUAAAGGGUGCGUAGGCGGACUGUCAAGUCAGCGGUAAAAUUGGGAGGCUCAACCUCUUCCCGUCGUUGAAACUGGUGGUCUUGAGUGGAUGAGAAGUACGCGGAAUGCGUGGUGUAGCGGUGAAAUGCAUAGAUAUCACGCAGAACUCCGAUUGCGAAGGCAGCGUACCGGCAUCCAACUGACGCUGAGGCACGAAAGCGUGGGGAUCAAACAGG
rnacentral:rRNA from 1 species